rnacentral:rRNA from 1 species
GACGAACGCUGGUGGCGUGCUUAACACAUGCAAGUCGAACGGGAUUUUGGAAACAGAAGCCUCGGUGGCAGAUUACUAAUGGGAGUGGCGAAAGGGUGAGUAACGCGUGAGCAACCUGCCUAUGACAGUGGGAUAGCCUCGGGAAACCGGGAUUAAUACCGCAUAAAAUCGUAGAAACACAUGCUUUAACGGUCAAAGAUUUAUCGGUCAUAGAUGGGCUCGCGUCUGAUUUGCUAGUUGGUGAGAUAACAGCCCACCAAGGAGUCGAUCAGUAGCCGGUAGGAGAGGCAGAACCGCCACAAUUGAACUGCGCCCCGGUCCAAACUUCUACGAGAGGCAGCAGUGGAGAAUAUUGCACAGUGGGGGAAACCCUGAUGCAGCGACGCCGCGUGAACGAAGAAGGUAUUCGUAUCGUAAAGUUCUGUCUAAUGGGAAGAUAAUGACCGUACCAUAGAAGAAAGCUACGGCUCAAUACGUG